ACACAGGUUAUCUCAUUGUCAAUAAAAUAUAGACAUUCAGUUCUUACCUGCUUAACUGCAUGAUGAUAAAUCUAAAUGGCACGCAAAAGAAAAAAAGUCCCCCAAAUCUGAUCAUUUGUCUUCGAAGCGGCUGUGACAGUUUUAGACACUGGUGCUUUCUUCUUAGCUUAUAUUUGACUGGCUGGACUAUUUGUAAGCAAUAGUAGGGUUAUUUCGCAACACCAGUCACCUCUUCGCCUUUUCAAGCCUCGGGUGGGCAUUUCACACAGCUGGAAACAUGCAUGUUAUCCUCGGAGGUAACAGCCUCCCCAGCGUUUCCUAGUCGGAUUCCCCUCCAAGGGAGGUCUCUGCCCCUAAAGGGCUGCUCACGUUCCUGACCUGGUUGGUGCAAAGGAGAAGGCUCUCUGGGCUCAACUCUUGGGGACUAGGAAAACAGCCAUCGGAGACUUCAACUCUCAGCCACCGUUCAGCUGCAGAUCCAGCUUCUCUAGCGGCCGGGAAGCACCACCCCCUCUCGGGUGGAUGCCGAAGGGGAGCGCGCCCAGCCUGGACCCUCCUACCUCGCGCCCCACCUCCAGGAAAGGGGGACCGAAACAGAAAAUCCUAACUCUCAAGUGAGGGUAAUAAUAGAAGCUGAAAGACUCCCAAUCCCUACGGUUUGCUUUACACUUCCAUUCCAACCUCUGGCUCCAAGUUGACAUCCAACUCCUUUCCUCCACCCCUCCCGCCCGCCAGAUCCCUGCGAGUUGUUGAAGCAGGAGAGGGUGUGACGGUCAGCUACACUUUCCCACAGAGCCCAAGAAGUCAGCUAGCUCUUCUAAACCCAGCUAAGCGGACGGAUGCAGACGGCGACUUUUUUUUUUUUUUUUUUUUUUGAGGCAGGCAUGCUGGAGAGCAGUCAAGUCUUAAUCUUAGUCACAGCUCAUCAAAAAUAAUAAUAAAAAAUAAAUAGAAACGCAGAUGGGAGCGGAUGAGGAAUUCUCAUACCAAAUGUGGCCUCUCGCACAGAAAAGCGGUUUUGCUCAAAACCGGCGGGAGGAAGGCUGGCAAUGGAGCGGGAACAGUCCUCCAAAGAGAAUGUUUGAAUUGGUGAAUUAUGCUAAGCCCUCGCUUCUUCAGCUGAAGUCUCGGACGCUGAUGGCACUUGUCUGGCAGAACGACCAGGAUGGGAAGGAGACCAGUAACGGAGGGAGAGUGAGUCAGAAAUGGUUUUGCUGCCGAAUGCAUUAUCUGGCCAUGUUCACAGCCCUGUACGGCACAAGCGAUCGCCUGAUCGAUCCGAAAUUAGAGGGAAAGGUAGAGUGA
rnacentral:lncRNA from 1 species